UGUGGAAAAACGUCAGGCUCUGAGACCGGGACUCAAGCCGAGGCACAAACAGAGCAUCGAAUCCUCGUAUUUGUGUUGGACAAAGGGCGGAGGGAGGUCACCGCCGUUCAUGCUCGUCAUUACAACACGCUUUCAAACACCUUCCUCUGAAUCAAAAUGCACUUACAGGGGAGUCAAGUCCAGCUGCCGCUGAUUUGUAUCUGGAGGUGCACCAAAGCACUUCCAGUUUCCUUACAAUUCUGGUUCCAAUGGGCCGUUCAAACAUCAAUUACAGUCUGUUUUCCCCCUCUUCUCCUGGAUGUCGGCCAUUAGACACGCUCAAUUGGAUUCCUGUCAGAUGUGCGGCCUCGCCCUGGGUCUCCUUCCUACGGUAAGGAGCUGAAAAAGGGUGAGAUCGUAAAUGAACUAGGCACUCACUGUGAACAUGCUUCGGAAGUUGCUGAGGUCGGUGAAUAGUUCCUCCACGGAUGUUUUCUUUGGAUCCACAGCAAAGUAGUCCAGCAGACUGAGGUAGAGAGUCUCCAUGUUGCUGUGCAGACUCACCAGCUUGCUGUGCUGCUCCCGCGCUACCUUCAUGAAGCUGUGAGGCUGGACGUCAAGGAAUUCAACACACAAACCGUGUAUAUAUUGUGUGUAUAUCGUGUAUAUAUAUU